rnacentral:rRNA from 1 species
AUUGAACGCUGGCGGCAUGCCUAACACAUGCAAGUCGAACGGCAGCACAGUAAAGAUUUCGGUCUUUACGGGUGGCGAGUGGCGGACGGGUGAGUAAAGCGUAGGAAUCUAUCCUGGAGAGUGGGAUAACCCGAGGAAACUCGGGCUAAUACCGCAUGACAUCGAGAGAUCAAAGCAGGGGACCCUUCGGGGCCUUGCGCUCUAGGAUGAGCCUACGUCGGAUUAGCUAGUUGGUGGGGUAAAGGCCUACCAAGGCAACGAUCCGUAGCUGGUCUGAGAGGAUGACCAGCCACACUGGGACUGAGACACGGCCCAGACUCCUACGGGAGGCAGCAGUGGGGAAUCUUGGACAAUGGGGGAAACCCUGAUCCAGCGAUGCCGCGUGUGUGAAGAAGGCCUUCGGGUUGUAAAGCACUUUAGGUGGGGAAGAAAAGUAAUGAGUGAAUAACUGAUUGCUCUGACGGUACCCGCAGAAUAAGCACCGGCUAACUCUGUGCCAGCAGCCGCGGUAACAC